rnacentral:tRNA from 2 species
GGCCCGUUCGUCUAGGGGUUAGGACGCGGGAUUUUCAUUCCCGAAACACGGGUUCGAUUCCCGUACGGGCUA